GGUCCAUGGUGCCCAUGUGACGGUUCCUCCAACACAUGCAGUCCUGUCCCCACUGCCAACUUCCUCGGAGGGAGCCAGCGCCUGGGCAUCAGUGCCAGUUGAAGAUCGUUGCAGACAUAUUAAAUCACAUGGAAACCCACCCACCUUUCACGUUAAAUAUCAUUUACAUGCGAGUUACCUUGUGGCUGGCCACGUGAUAGGCUGUUGCAGUUUGCACGCGUUUAAUUACAUGCUUGGUUUUAUUUUACGGUUUACUUUUCCGUUGCCUGAUCAAUUUUGUUUCAGGCCUCUAACAUUUUGUGGGCCAUUGCAAAGCUCACAUUCUCCGUGCCUGUGGAGCUUCAUGAUGCAAACAGCCAUGAUCAGACCUGUCCGGAUGGUCCAGGCUCGCCAAAUUCUAGAGCAAAGGUUUGGGAGCCAUCUGUCUUUGCCAGUCUGGACGGGCCUGCUGAUGGACAGCCCUCAGCCCAGCCACGGGAGCACAGCAGUAAAAGGACUUUGGAAAGUUUUGCCAACCUCGGGAAGCUGACUGAAUGCAUCGCCCCUGAAGCUGUGGUUUGGCUCAGGUAGCAGACAGCUCUCCUGAAUUCGGCUUCUGAGACACUUCCAUUGGAAGACCCGCUGUGGGGGCAAGCACUUGCCUUUUACCACUGUCCCCAUCGCUUGUUACUGCCUCUCCCUGAGCCUCUGUCUCCUGGCUGAGCCCUGAAGGUAUUAAUACUUAUGAAAACGGUUAGGGUCUGCUGACAAAUACUGGAACGAAGAGUAGACAUUGGAAAACAAAAUUCCUUCUUUCUAGCGUCUCUGCUUCGUAUCAGAUGUGCUCAGUCGUUCUUGGAAGUCUUGACCUCCUGCAUCGCCCAUCUGCACUGGGGAUCUUUAACCACAAGGCAGCUCAGGGCUUGCUGUAACCCAACGCUGCUGUCCCCGCCCUCCAAACCCUCGGAAAGGGCCUCUGCAAGCCACUGUCUGUCACAGCUCCUGUUGGGGGCCCCUCCUGCAUGGCUCCUUCUCUUCCCAGAUGCUGGUGACAGCUCCCUCUUCUUGUCCCCUCCAGGUGCAGGAGUGACAAGAGCUUCCCUCUGUCACUAGUUUCUGCUUCCCCACCUUUUGUUGCUUCCCCAACCCUGCUCAUGCCUGUGUGAAUAGUUCUUCUCUGACAUCCUCUUCAGUUAAACCUUUUUAUUGUUGUAUCUGAUCUCUAUUAGGACAGUGACCAUCCCAACCCCGCUGCCCCAGGGCCCUCAGGGUAAAAUCCAAACUUCUUAAUGCCCCGCCACCCUGGCCUCUCCUGCUAUUCUCCUCUGGUUCCCUAACUUCCAGUCUUCAAACUGUUUCCCAUUCGGGGCCCUUUGCAUCUGCUGUUCUCAGCCAGGAAUGUUCUUUCCCCGUAUGUUGGGCCAGCUGCCUUGUUCUCAUCAUUAUGGUGUUAGGUUGGAUGUCACCUCUUUAGAAAGUCCUUUCCAGGUCACUCUACGUAAGUAGCUCACCCGCCGCCCCCCCCCAGUUCUUUACCAUCUUAUUGCCCU
rnacentral:lncRNA from 1 species